rnacentral:rRNA from 1 species
AACGAACGCUGGCGGCAUGCCUAACACAUGCAAGUCGAACGAGAUCUUCGGGUCUAGUGGCGCACGGGUGCGUAACGCGUGGGAAUCUGCCCUUUGGUUCGGAAUAACAGUUGGAAACGACUGCUAAUACCGGAUGAUGACGAAAGUCCAAAGAUUUAUCGCCAGAGGAUGAGCCCGCGUAGGAUUAGCUAGUUGGUGUGGUAAAGGCGCACCAAGGCGACGAUCCUUAGCUGGCCUGAGAGGAUGAUCAGCCACACUGGGACUGAGACACGGCCCAGACUCCUACGGGAGGCAGCAGUGGGGAAUAUUGGACAAUGGGCGAAAGCCUGAUCCAGCAAUGCCGCGUGAGUGAUGAAGGCCUUAGGGUUGUAAAGCUCUUUUACCCGGGAUGAUAAUGACAGUACCGUGAGAAUAAGCUCCGGCUAACUCCGUGCCAGCAGCCGCGGUAA